AGCGAACGUUUGCGGCGGGCCUAACACAUGCAAGUCGAACGCACUAGCAAUAGUGAGUGGCGCACGGGUGCGUAACACGUGGGUAAUCAACCCUUCAGCCUGGGAUAACGACUCGAAAGGGUCGCUAAUACCGGAUACGGCGCGAGAGGCUUCGGCUUCUCACGAGAAAGCCACGCAAGGGGCACUGAAGGACGAGCCUGCGGCCCAUCAGCUAGUUGGUGAGGUAAGAGCUCACCAAGGCUAAGACGGGUAGCUGGUCUGAGAGGAUGAUCAGCCACACUGGAACUGAGACACGGUCCAGACUCCUACGGGAGGCAGCAGUGGGGAAUAUUGCGCAAUGGGCGAAAGCCUGACGCAGCCACGCCGCGUGAGCGAUGAAGGCCUGGUCGUAAGAC
rnacentral:rRNA from 1 species